rnacentral:misc_RNA from 1 species
AUCGAAACAAACGUUUCCUACGAAUUGCUGCUCCAGCCUAUACACGCCAAAAGCUGGAGCGAGUAACGUAAUAAAUAUUGCUGUGUGUAGUCUUUGCCUGUCAGCCCAUGAUAGGCUUUUUUUUUU